UGACACAGGGAGGUAGUGACAAGAAAUAACAAUACAGGGCUUAAAGUCUUGUAAUUGGAAUGAUGGGAAUCUAAACCCUUCCCAGAGUAUCAAUUGGAGGGCAAGUCUGGUGCCAGCAGCCGCGGUAAUUCCAGCUCCAAUAGCGUAUAUUAAAGUUGUUGCAGUUAAGAAGCUCGUAGUUGAAUUUCUGCCUUGUCAUUAAUCUCGCUUCCGAGCGUUUUUUUAUUGGCUUGGCAUCAUCUGGAUUUGGUGCCUUCGGGUACUGUUUCCAGGGUUUACUUUGAGAAAACUAGAGUGUUUCAAACAGGCAUUUGCCUUGAAUACUACAGCAUGGAAUAAUGAAGUAGGACUUUGGUUCUAUUUUGUUGGUUAUUGAACCAGAGUAAUGGUUAAUAGGAGCAGUUGGGGGCAUUCGUAUUUAACUGUCAGAGGUGAAAUUCUUAG
rnacentral:rRNA from 1 species